AAAAUCUUAGGUAUGUCAAACUAUAAAGUGUACAUUUUUAAUUUUCUUCGGAAUAGUAAUAUUAAAAAUCACGUCACGCAUUGCCAGACACUUAGUGUCGUUGCAACCCCGUGCCAGACGCCUCUAAAGUUAAAAAGUAUAAAGGUGUCUGGCAGAGGAUUGCCACGAUAAUAAGUGUUAAUGCAUGACGUGAUUUCUAAUACU